GUAUAGUGCCGGAAGAUUGGAGAGAAGCAAACGUUAUUCCCUUGUUCAAAAAACGGAAUAACGAUAACCCCAGAAAUUACAGGGCAUGAAUACUUUGGGAAUCAUUCAAAAAAAGAGUGAAAUAAAGAUUCAAAAAGGACUUGGUCCAGUCUCUUCGAACGCCUGCAGAAUUGCUUGAUGUAUGUGAAAGGAUUUUUGAAUGCAUGACUGAAAGCCACGAAUGGAAAGUCAGAAGUCUCCCAAGAGGAAGCAGAAAAGAUGGAAUUUUCUGUAUAAAUGGGGAUGAUUUGAUCUCCCUAAAAUGAAUUGAACCGUGAUCUUUGAGCACCUGCCCUUGAGGAUAACCACGUAGAUCUGAACAGCUCUCGACCCUGGUUGAUUGGGAAUCUCCGCUGGGAACAGGAUUGCAUUCACUGCACUGCUCAGUGUGAGCAGCUCCCCCUGCAGUGCGAAGCCACAUGGAUGCUGAGUUCAAUUCCCCGCCUCGUCUGCCAUGGUCAACAGAGGUGAGGAUUACUCCUGGGGAAGGUUCCUGGUCUUGGGGAUCAAUGUGUGACACAUGAGCCAGGUCUCAGGGUCAAGGUACCAAAGAGCGGGCUGUUGGGCAAAGGCUGCAGGAGUCACAUUCUUUCAACUGGCAAGAGUUCAUGAGAACACAAAGGGAAAGUGUAUCAGAUGCCUCAGCGAUCCGAACUUUGCCCUUGCUGCCUCUCAGACAGCGUUCAAGGACACUCAGUGACUGAUGUGGGACCGAACAGGAGCUGUGAUCUCAUGUUGAUCAAUGGUAGGUGAUAAACAGAUGGAAAUCAAAGGAGAGGAGGAGUCAGGUGGGGACACAGCAGGAGGUGGUGAAUUCAAAGGCAGCGCAAGCCUUCCGCCUCAUAAAGAAACCUUAUCUCGCUCAAGCUCUGCCGGCUUCUUUGAUGUAUCUGCCAGUUUUCGUACUGUACUCGUCAAUAAUGAUCUGGAAACUCUCAUAAACCUGGGCAGAGGGAUGCAACAAUGGCUGGUACUGUUAUAGCUGCUUUAACAUACAGCAAAACACCAUAACAUUUCACAGGAGCUUUACAUGAUCCCUGAGCGUGGGGAUGGUCAGUGAGCCCUUGCGUGGACUGAGGAUGGUGGGCAGCCUGGAGCGGAGUGGGGACUGUCAACGGGCCCUGGGGCGGACUGAGGAUGGUGGGCAGCCCAGAGCAGAGUGGAGUGGGGAUGGUCAGUGGGACCUGGAGUGAAAAUGGCUCCUGGUUGGGAACUGGUGGACCCCAGUCAUAUGUGGAAGCUCUUAUAGACUGUAAUGGCUAUCUUUUUAGCUUUAUUUCUUAUUUUCCUAACUUAUACAUAUGUAUGUAUAACUGUAAUGUAGUGUAACAUUUUCUCUUUAUUUUCUGUGUUUUGUACCUAGGUACUUUGUGCCUAGGAUAGUGCCGUGUGUUGGCGACAUUGUGCACUUUUCACUGUACUCCUGUUCUUUCAUAACUUAAGUACACGUAACAAUAAAUCUAAUUCAAUU